rnacentral:tRNA from 1 species
GCCCAGGUAGCUCAAAUGGUAAAGAAUCCUCCUGCAAUGAGGAAGACCUGGGUUUGAUCCCUGGCUUGGGAA